GACGAACGCUGGCGGCGUGCCUAAUACAUGCAAGUCGAACGCACUCUCGUUUAGAUUGAAGGAGCUUGCUCCUGAUUGAUAAACAUUUGAGUGAGUGGCGGACGGGUGAGUAACACGUGGGUAACCUGCCCUAAAGUGGGGGAUAACAUUUGGAAACAGAUGCUAAUACCGCAUAAAACCUAACACCGCAUGGUGUAGGGUUGAAAGAUGGUUUCGGCUAUCACUUUAGGAUGGACCCGCGGUGCAUUAGUUAGUUGGUGAGGUAAAGGCUCACCAAGACCGUGAUGCAUAGCCGACCUGAGAGGGUAAAUCGGCCACACUGGGACUGAGACACGGCCCAGACUCCUACGGGAGGCAGCAGUAGGGAAUCUUCCACAAUGGACGAAAGUCUGAUGGAGCAACGCCGCGUGAGUGAAGAAGGUUUUCGGAUCGUAAAACUCUGUUAGUUGGAGAAGAAUGUAUCUGAUAGUAACUGA
rnacentral:rRNA from 1 species